rnacentral:lncRNA from 1 species
GCCUAUCUCAAAAACUUUAGAAUUUAUAAUUUUAGAAAUAUGAAAGAGAAUUUGCAAUGUGAUCUCAGUGGCUGGCUCACUUCUCCUUGUAAAGAUUUUUAUCUGAUUAAAAAACAAACAACCUACUUUUUCAAGGCAUAUCAGUGCCAUGAAAUCAUGCUCCACCUUUGCCCGCUUUCAUCAUAUCACCAGGAGCUGCAGUCUGAUAUAAGAGAGGCCAUGACAGAGAGUUAAUUUCUGCCAAUGCCCUUCUCGCUUUCACCGCAAGAUAUGGUUAUUUAAUUUUCUUCUGGGCAUUUACAUAGAGCUUUGAUGGUGCUUCUUACCAUAUCACUGGGUCUGCAUGACUGCUUUAUGGUGAAUCUGAAACCAUUGGGAAAAUGGUCCAGAGUCCCUGAACUUUGCUGGAUCCUAAAAUUAUAGUUUGGAAGCUGUGAGAAUGUUGGUGAAUAAAAAGAAGCAUGUGUCUUUUCCAUGAAUUAAUUUUGGGUGAGAUUGCAGGAUAAAAUGAUGCUUGCUCAGGAAGUGCCAAUGCCCAUCUACCCACCCUGACCUCGGGGAGCAGCACUCAGCCUGACAUGCCAAGAACAGAGCUUUGUCCCCAUGUCUCAGGUGACUGAAAUUCUGCCUUCUGCCCAGAGCCCCUGCUUGGGCUUCAACCAGCAAAGCAAAGGCCUAGGAAACAUUUGCUACCAUCAGCUCUGGUGGUUGCACCUAAGAUGGAAUUUCAUAUAGCCUCUUGUUUAUUUAUUUAUUUUAUUUAACAAGGCGACCAGUUAGGGGACCCAGGUUAAGCCCUUCAACAGAACUAUCCUGAAGAGCAAAAGUAGCAAAUGACAGGCUAUGACUAGGGAUUGAAUUUGGGGAAGGCUGGAUUUGUGAAAUGAGAGCCAAAAAAUUUUCACCUUCUAGCCCACAGGUUAAGUUACUGAAAAUCAAUCAUCACCAUUUCUACCCACUUGUGUGUUUCUCCUACUCUGGAGAGUAAUCUAACUCAUCAUUUGCAAUCAGGGCCUCUGAGUUCUGUUUGUGUUUGCUUUUGCUCUUCGCUUUGCUACUUGUCCGGCCGUUUGCCUUCGCAUCUGACAUCUGUUGGUAAUAGAAGCCUUUGUCUUCAGUGGGCCCGCCCCAGUCCUCCUGGCUCUCGCCCUCUGUGGCGUAGGAGAAACCCUCCUCCACUGAGAAGGGGUCAUCCACAUCGUAGCGUUGGUACGUGCUUUGGUGCAGGGCCUCUUCUCGAGCGCUGAUUUCCAGGGUGCUGUUCCAGAUGCCAUAUCCAAAAUAAAUGAGCAGACCUGUGGGGCGAGGGGAAAGGUACAGAUAAGUGAACUGAGGCCCAAAGAAGUUAAGUAAAUUUCCCAAAGUCACAAG